GUGCUGGUUGAAGGAGUGAUUGUCGUGCUGCUUGUACGAGAUCGGCUGGAAUGACAGAUGAAGUGGCAGAUGUGGAGGGCUGGAGAGACAGAUGAACAGCGUUAACCAGAUCAGCAAAAGGAUCGUUGGGGUGAUCUUUGCCAGUAUCCGUGGAUCUCUGCAUGUGGUUUGGUCUUCUGACACACAAUUGCCUCCAUGCAAGGAUGAUGACAACAUGACACCCAUAGAGAACUGCUCUGAGGAUUCUGUAACUACUGCAGGCACUUCACAAUUCACAGCUCAGCCUCCAUGCAAUGAUGAUGACAACAUGACAGCCAUAGAGAACUGCUCUGCGGAUUCUGUAACUACUGCAGGCACUUCACGAUUCACAGCUGAGCUAUGUGUUUUUAUUAUCUCUGUCUGUGUCAGUCUCUUUAUCUGUCUGUGUCAGUCUCUUUAUCUGUCUGUGCCUGUCUCUCUCUUUGUCAGUCUCUUUAUCUGUCUGUGCCUGUUUAUGUUUGUGUCUCUGUCUGUGUCAGUCUCUUUAUCUGUCUGUGUCUGUCUCUGUCUGUGUCUCUUUAUCUGUCUGUCUGUCUAUUAAUUUAUUAUAUUUGGUUUUGACUUGGGAAAGUCUUACAUGCUGUUUCCAGUGUAAUGUACGUAGUGGGGACCUGUAGUUUUAGGAAAGCCAUACAAACCCUUUGGUACCAAAUACACGCAUUUCACAGGUUUAGCAUAGUGGGGACCUUGUCUAAUAAGUGAUGACUUGUAACUAUUUUUUAAAUAACUUUAUCAUAGCCUCCAUGCAAUGAUGAUGACAUUAUGACAGCUAUAGAGAACUGCUCUGCGGAAUCUGUAACUACUGCAGGCACUUCACGAUUCUCAGCUGAGCUAUGUGUUUUUAUUAUCUCUGUCUGUGUCAGUCGCUUUAUCUGUCUGUCUGUGUCUCUGUCUGUGUCUGUCUCUGUCUGUGUCUCUUUAUCUGUCUGUGUCUGUCUCUGUCUGUGUCUCUUUAUCUGUCUGUGCCUGUUUAUGUUUGUGUCUCUGUCUGUGUCAGUCUCUUUAUCUGUCUGUGCCUGUCUCUUUAUCUGUCUGUGUCUGUCUCUGUCUGUGUCUCUUUAUCUGUCUGUGCCUGUCUCUUUAUCUGUCUGUGCCUGUUUAUGUUUGUGUCUCUGUCUGUGUCAGUCUCGUUAUCUGUCUGUCUGUGUCUCUGUCUGUCUCUGUCUGACAGAGAUUUUCUCUCUUCCACUUCAUUUUCAUAUUUUUCUUUCUUUUUUAUUCCUUAACAGCCUGGUUGAUUACUCGGACAUCGAAUAUGAAGUUUUGUGUUCUAAAAUUAUGACAUCUUAUAAAAAGAGAUCUGUGAUUUGUGAUGAUUCGGAUGAUCUCUUUGAAAAUUCCAGUGUAAACAGUAAAGAUGACCAUACAGACAUUCAAGAUGACGUCAGACGGAAUCAUGCAUCAUUUGCAAUGAGUGAACAACAUUCCGCUUGUACCAUAGCAUCCAAAAGAGCAAAAAACACCAGAUGAUCCCUUCCGUCUCCAGCUCAAUCCUCCAGUUGAGGUGGCUGUUUCCCGUCAGUCCUGGUCUCCACUCUUCAUCUCCACGAGUCUCCUGUAAGGCAAGAAAGUUCAGAUUAUUUCCUGGAUCAUCCUCUAGAGGAAUCUCAGUGCUAGCAUACUCACCUGAACAAUCUCCAUUUAGCUCCUUUGCUCUCCUGUUGUUAACCCUCUGGAGUCGAUUAACGCGUAUACGUGGUUUGGGCUAUUUUCUCCUGAUAACCCCAAAAAGAACUUAAAUUACACUUUCAGUUUUGAUCGUACAGAUAAGAGCAAUACAUCAAUCGAAUCUGUAAAGGGUCUACUUUUUUUUGGAUACAGACAUAAUAACAACAAAACUUUGUGCACUUUUUGUAAAAUAAAGAUAACAAACAAGGAGUGCUGUCUGCA
ensembl:lncRNA